UAGUCUGGCGCUCUUUGGGGUCUCCGGUUUCCUCCCAGUCGCGCAUCCAGUGGGGGCCUAAAAGCUCAAGAGUGUCACAGCUUCCCCUCCCGGGAUCUAAGGUCCUAACUAAGGGAAUCCCCUCACCUCUCCCCACUGGGGCGCAGUCUGACGUGCUCGCUGCUCAGAGCACGCACACAGCUACCGGUUAAUUUAAUUUCUUCUAUUUUUAAUGAAAUGAGUGUCCUCUGUCAGGGUCCACAUCUGUACUGGUGGAAUUAGGUUGAAGUCUUUCAUGGAACUACCCUCCGGGUUCUGCAGUCACAGGAGCCCCUGGCACUCGCCUUUCCCAGGGACAGAUGCUGAGCUCCACUUCAUCGGAAUGCUAAGUGUCCACAGCAUUGCUUUAAGGCUGCCGUCAGAAGUUGUGGCCCAGGUUAAAGUUGGAUCCUCCUACCUUAAGAAAUCCAGAGAAGGGGCUGGUGAGAUGGCUCAGCAGGCAUGGGGCCAAGUGGCUUAAGAGAGACGACCAUCACACAGAAGCCUAGAGCCAUAAUAAUGAUGGGUUUAGCUACUUCAUCUACCACACUUCCUGUUGACUCCUUUCUUCCUGUGCUCUGGUGCUGGAACUCUACUGGCCCAGUAGAGAGUCAAAGUCUUAGCUUGGAGAUGGCAGAGAUGAUGGACAUGAUGGAGAUGGAGAUGACAGAGAAAACAUACUUCAGCAUUGAUGAGUAUCUGCUGAAGGAAGGCAUGCUGGGGAGACUAAUGAAACCACUCAGAUGAUAUAAAGUCGCCUUGAAGAUGGAUCUCUGCGCAUUCUUAUGAGGAGACGAUCUUGACUGAGUUGACUGAAGUGGCAAGACCUGACCACUGGGGAUGACAUCAUCCCUUGGGAUGAGAACUAGGAUCUACAUAAAGAGGGAAGUGAGCUGCACUCAGAAAUCCAUGGCCCUCUGAACCCUAAGGAUGGAUGCCACAUGACCAGCUACUCUAAGCACUGGCUGCUCCAACUCCCCUGCCUUCGUGGACAAGACCCUUGCACUGUGAGCUGAAAUAACCCCCAUCUCCCUCGACUGCUUUUGUCAACUGCUUUUGUUUUAUCAAAGCAACAGGAAAAGAAAGUAGCAUGGCAUUCAAUUUAUCAGCAGUAAAUGUUACUGGUAAUUGUACUUUCUUUUUUCAUUUCUGGAUAUCAAGUCUAAGUACUCACUCAUUCUAAAUAAGCCAUCUUCUUCCAAGUUACCGUCCCUUGCCUGACAUUUUUAUGAAACAUUUCUAUGGCAUUUUCCCCCAUAGCCCAAUGUUUCUAUUUAAGGUUUUAUUUAAGUAUUUCCUUUAAGGUUCAACUUUCCCUCUACCAUUUUGGUUUUUUUUUUCCUCCAAAAUGGCCCUUUGUUUUCUUUUUUCACAUUCUUUUCUUCCUAUGCCCAGCUGUAUGCAAAUGAUACAAGCAUUCGUGUUUCUAUUUGAAUGUCUUAUCUGAGUUCCAAUGUCAAUAUGUCAAUAUCUGAAGGGCUGCAUUAUAUCCUUUGAACAUUUCAGUGAUAAGUCACAUGUGGUAUGCCCAAAAAAGAUCUCGUGUCCCCCCCCCCCCCACCUCCCUCAUCUAAUCUGCUUGUCUUUGGACUCCUUUCCAGUAAAUUAUAGCAUGAUACUUUCAUUAUUUUACUUUCAAGUGUUGCAUUUGUGUAAUUUCUCUUCUCUAUACGACCUGCAUCUAGCCAUGAUCUCUCUUUGUUACAUCUUCUCUCUUUUCCUCUUGUCUGUUCACCAUUUCAUCCCAAGCAAUUAGUUUUAGUAAAAUAUUGACAAGCCAAUGCUUUCAGACAAUUCUUAGGAAAACAGGAGAAAAAAGUAUUAUAAUCACAACACUUGGCAGACUGAGUCAGGAUGUUUAUCAGGAGUCCAAGGCCAGUGUAGGCUUCAGAGUGAGACUGUGUCCAAAGAUAAAAUAAGGAUCUAGAUAGAUGGCUCAGGGAGUAAGAAUACAGGUUUCUCUUAGAGAGGGUCUGUUAUGUCCCAGCAUGUUCAUGAUAGCUUGUAACCAUUCAUAAUUUCAGUGCUGGGAAGUGAUCCCAGGUUCUUCUGCGAGAUCAGCAAGUGAUCUUAACAACUGAGCAAACUACCCACACCCAUUGUUACCAUUUAUUUAUUUACCAAAUGAAGAAUUUAUAUCCUUUAGGUAUCUGUAUAAAAAAAUUCAAGAAUCUUAAUUGUAACUCCUAUGUCAUUACAGAGGUUUUCCUUUUUAUCCUCUUUUAAAGGAUACACUUAUUUUUAAUGUAUUGUACGUAUGAGUGCCUGCAUGUAUGUAUAUACACCAUAUGUCGGUCAGAUACCUGAGGAAGCCAGAAGAGCAUACCAGGUCCCCUGGAGCUGGAAUCACAAACAAUCCUGUUAGCAUGUAGGUGCUGAGAACCAAACCCAGGUUCUCUCAAAAGCAAUAAGCACUCUUACUGAAUGAAGAAUCUGUUUAGCCCCUGUUUGUCUUCUUAAGGGUCCCAUGGCAGUUGCCCUGUAUGCUUAUUUGUGACUACAUAUGCAAGGAACAUCACUACAACUAGAAUGCAUGCUUCAUCAAAAAGACCCUCCUGUAGAAUCUUGUGUUUGAAAGCUACAUCUGCUGUAAGACCAUUAGAGAAGAGAAGACUCACUUCAGUUCAAUGGUUUGUAUUCAGAAGUCCAGGAUUGAGAACUAAGUAAACAAUGGUGGCCCUUAAAGAGAUAGAGUGUUUUUCACAGUGCUGUAUAUUCCACCAUAGUCAUCUUGUAUUGCAUUAAUCAGAAUCAAGAAUUUAUGACUGAGAAGCACAUCAUUGCCAUAAUUGCAUUAACUGUAAAGACAAUUUUAGUGACAUGACACUGUCACAGACAAAGCAAACCCACAGAUAUAGUAUAGCAGAUUAUGAAGACUUAGAUUGGAGUCUGACUCUCUGGUAGUCUUUAGCUUAGGG
ensembl:processed_transcript Ptgs2os prostaglandin-endoperoxide synthase 2, opposite strand